CCUACGGGGGGCAGCAGUGGGGAAUAUUGGGCAAUGGGCGCAAGCCUGACCCAGCAACGCCGCGUGAAGGAAGAAGGCUUUCGGGUUGUAAACUUCUUUUGACAGGGAAGAGUAGAAGACGGUACCUGUCGAAUAAGCCACGGCUAACUACGUGCCAGCAGCCGCGGUAAUACGUAGGUGGCAAGCGUUGUCCGGAUUUACUGGGUGUAAAGGGCGGGUAGCCGGGUUGACAAGUCAGAUGUGAAAUCCUGCGGCUUAACCGCAGAACUGCAUUUGAAACUGCGAGGCUGGAGUGCUGGAGAGGUAAGCGGAAUUCCUGGUGUAGCGGUGAAAUGCGUAGAUAUCAGGAGGAACACUGGUGGCGAAGGCGGCUUACUGGACAGUGACUGACGUUGAGGCUCGAAAGCGUGGGGAGCGAACAGGAUUAGAUACCCUUGUAGUC
rnacentral:rRNA from 1 species